GGAACAUGCGACUUUCUGAACAUGAGGGAAGGGUGAGGGUGGAGAGUUUCUCUGGAAGGAGUUUUGUUUUGACCCUCCACCUGCAGGCCAGACCCUGGGGGACUGAGUGAGGCCACAGAGAAUAGCUGGAUGGGGAGGGGAGACACACCACAAUACCAAAACUUCCCCCCAGGCUACAGUGCUCCCACAUGGUCUACUGGGGGCUCGAAACUGGAUUGAACCUGUGCAAGGCAGACGCCCUCCCAGGGAUGCCAUCCCAGACUACAAGAGGAGUGUCUGUCUCCUAUUUGAGCCCAGUCCCAGGACUUCUGCUUUGACUUGAUAUCUGCUUCACACAACAAUGCCACAGUCCCCGAUUUGACUCCAGUCCCAACUCUUGGAGCCGCAGAGGACAUCAGAGGCCCUAGCACAGAGCUGGACAGGGAUGCAGGAUUUUGGGGUGUGAGCGACCGAAUCCAAAGCAUGGCGAAGGGACAGCGUUGGUAACACAUAAAGGUGGCUGACUGCUGGGCAGAAGAUCUUGCCUGGAACAGGUGGGGCAGGGGCUGCAGGUGAGCAGCUGAGUGAGGCUUCCUGGGGAGCCAGGGCCAGGUCUUUGGAGAAGGGGCGGAGCUUCCCUUUCUGCCCCCAGAACUGCCUUCCCUGCAGAUCUGACAUACCUCCCCAUACUGGGGAGCCAAAGUGGAGCUCUAGUUGGCAUGUCUGAGGCCCCAGACAUCAAGGAUUCCAUCCUCAGCACCAUCUUAUGCUAGAGUUAAGCUGUGCUCUGGUCUCUUAUCCUCUCUCUCUCCCUCCCUCCUUGGUUUACAAUAAAUACAGUUGUUGCUACAUGUAUAACAUCUCCAGCUCUCUGUUUCUUUCCUUUUCUUUUCCUUCCUCUCUUCUUUCCUUCCUUUCUUUCUUUUUAGAAAGUUUUUAAAAUUACUUAUUUAUUUAUUCCAUUUUGUUGCCCUUGUUGUUUUAUCAUUGUUGUUAUUGAUGUCGUCGUUGUUAGACAGGACAGAGAGAAAUGGAGAGAGGAGGAGAAGACAGAGAGGGGGAGAGAAAGAUAGACACCUGCAGACCCGCGUCACUGCCUGUGAAGCAACUCCCCUGCAGGUGGGGAGCCGGGGGGCUGGAACCCAGAUCCUUACACCUGUCCUUGCGCUUUGCGCCACCUACGCUUAACUUGCUGCGCUACAACCCGACUCCCUCUUUCUUUCUUUCUUUCUUUCUUUCUUUCUUUCUUUCUUUCUUUCUUUCUUUCUUUCUUUCUUUCCUUCUUAUUCCUUCCUUUUUCUCUUUUUUCAUUAGGACUAUAGUUUUUUCACCACUCCCAUUGUGAGGUUAGAGAAAACCCUGAAUAUUGAGAACAGCCGUUAACCCGAAACCAACUGUUCCUGGUUCUGCGUAAAUAUUUCCACCUGUAUCCACCCUGUGAUAACUAUAAAAAAGUGGGAUGAAAAAUGAUCAGGGACUCAGACAUUCCCCCUGCGUGGAAGGGUGUCUGUGGCCCAAGCUUAAGCUUGAUAA